rnacentral:rRNA from 1 species
UACGUAGGCAGCAAGCGUUGUUCGGAGUUACUGGGCGUAAAGGGUGUGUAGGCGGUUCUUUAAGUUUGGUGUGAAAUCUCCCGGCUCAACUGGGAGGGUGCGCCGAAUACUGAGGGACUAGAGUACGGGAGAGGAAAGUGGAAUUCCAGGUGUAGCGGUGAAAUGCGUAGAUAUCCGGAAGAACACCGGUGGCGAAGGCGGCCUGCUGGGCAGUUGCUGACACUGAGGCGCGACAGCGUGGGGAGCAAACAGG